CCAUCGGCAGUUUAAUUUCUAGCUGUCUGUCAUGCCUUUUCUUUGGUUCCUACCUUUAGUAAUUGUAAUUUGAUAGGCGGAACUAAUUACUGCCGCACUUGUGUUCCACCCCUAUUGUAAUUAAUGAAACACCUGGCAUCCGAAGCGCCAGAAAAGACGGCAGAAAAAGUAAACAGCUACAGCUAAGCUAAGUAAUAAAAGAGUAAACAGAUAAAACAUGAAGAAAGAAGACAACGAGAAGAAUAAAUAAGGAAGAUUAGUCCCUCAUAAGAGAAAGGCAGCCUACGAGUUCUCACGGGUUGGUUUGUAUGGAUUAAACCCAGUCUUCUAACCAAGACCUCGUGCCUCAUGCCUAUUCUUGGAGGGCGCUACAGUGAGAACUCGUAGGCUGCUCCACAGCAUGAGUAGACAAGGACCGCGGUGCCAGAAAGCAGAGAGCCAGGGAGAGAGGAGAUGAUUUCCUGUUCCAGCCUGUGUGUCUCCUACCAUCAUCUACACCGCCACGCAAGAAGUUGCAGCCCCCAUGGAAGUCUCCUGCAACCAGAGGAGAGGCAGUGUGCCAGUGUGGUGAUGUGAAGAAAGACACCAGGGAAAUUGGAUGCCAAACGGACUGCCUUGUGGGGAAAAGGACCGUGGCCACACAAUGGUCCAAAAGAACACUUACCAACAGAAACAGUACAGAUUGGAACUCAGAAGAUGAGUUUGACUCAUCAACCUGUGGUCUGCCUCAUCAUAUAGGCUGAAUGGAUGGACAAGAAAAUGGACAGAAAUUUGUUUUUAUUCCAUGGAGCUUUCAUCUCCACACAGCUAUGUUUUCAGAAAGAAUAAUCUAGUGAUUAUGUCCAAUCAUGUGCAUUUAAUAUAUACACAUCUAUAUAUCAAUGUAAUGUACACACUGGUUGAUUUAUGUUUAGAGACCCAUGUGAAAAACAUCUCCAGAAUGAACCAGUCUUUAUUGUUAGCAAUCUGUCCUACAUGAGAGAGGAUAUAUGGCUGAGGAAGAUGAGGGAUUAAAAUGGUUACAGUCAAGCAGUACUCAUGUGCUUUGAGUGUAUAUAAAAUACACUGUUUACAUUAGUCGACAUCACUAAUAUGAUUGUCUAAACAGUGCAAGUUUAUUCUCGGGUAUUAACCUUACUGGUCUUUGCUGUUGAUCAAACAACAUGCCUUUCAGUGUAAUU